GACGAACGCUGGCGGCGUGCUUAACACAUGCAAGUCGAACGGAAAGGCGCUGCGUUUGUGGGGUUCUCGUGUGGCGCGGGCGUGUGUAUCACGUGAGUAUCCCGCCCUUGUCUUUCGGAUAACUUUUGGAAACUGGGGCUCAUAUCGGAUAGGAGAUCUUGCUGCAUGUUGUGGGUUGGAAAGUUUCGGCGGUUGUGGAUGGACUCGCUGGUUAUCCGCUUGUUGGGGGGGUAGUGGCGUACCAAGGCUUUGACGGGUAGCCGGCCUGAGAGGGUGACCGGCCACAUUGGGACUGAGAUACGGCCCAGCCUCCUACGGGAGGCAGAAGUGGGGAAUAUUGCACAAUGGGCGGAAGCCUGAUGCAGCAACGCCGCGUGCGGGAUGACGGCCGUCGGGUUGUAAACCGCUUUCGCCUGUGACGAAGCGUGAGUGACGGUAAUGGGUAAAGAAGCACCGGCUAACUACGUG
rnacentral:rRNA from 1 species